rnacentral:lncRNA from 1 species
ACCUCAGAUCCUUCCACUCCUCCCUCCCUUCAUUUAAUUUUAUCUCCAACUUUGCACGUAAAAACUCUAAUAGGUAGGUAUUAUUAUCCCCAUUUGUAGCUGAGGAAUUUGAGGCUCAGAGAGGGGAUGUGGGUUGCUCAAGACACAAGGCAGAUUCAGGAGUUCAAACCUAGGUGAGUAUGUCUGCCCCCAAGACUAAUGUCUUUCUACCAUGUUCCCCACCUGGUUCCUGUCCAGAUUCAUAGAGUUUAGGUUGCUGUGUGACAUGAGGCACAAAUAGAAUCUCAGGUUAGAAUAAAAUUAAGGGCUUAUUCUUUGAGGAAAGAGAGGACCUGGUCCUAUGGGAGCCAUCCCUGAGCAUCCUUUUACUGCCCAAGCCCUGAAGAGGAGUGAACAAAUGCCACCCACUUCAGGAAAUGUCAAGCUUGGGUGAGUUCACACUUUGAGUUUGACUUGGUCAGUGGGAAAGGGGAAGGACUGGAAUAAGACCUGCCCACUGUGACAGGGUCAGGGCCAGGGGAGUGGAAUACCCAGCUGGUGGAGGGGAUUGUAUUGUUGUCCAAUUAUCCAAUCUAAGGAGACUCAUAAAAUCCAACCAAGUGGGAGAAUCAGCAAGAGUGCCCAGAGGAAAUCCCUAGCAUUCCCCAAACAUCCAUGCUUUUGCACAUCAUUGUUCCAUGCAUACUGUUUGGAGUGCCCUUCUUGCUUUUGUCAGCUCUGCAGAUUUAUCCUUCAUAAUCAGGUUAUAAUGUCACCUCUAUGAAGCCACCACUCCCUCUUCAUAGAACUUACCACCUUAUAGGUGAGUGAAAUUUACACUUUCCCACCUGCCUCCACAUGAGUCUGUCGACUAAGGCUGUAGGCAAGGUCCAUGAGUUAUUGUUCUUUGGGUCUCUCCAGUCACUACUAGCACAGGAUUUGACACAUAGUAGGUGCUCAACCAAUACCUGUUAAAUAAUAACUAAGCCACAGAUGUAGCAACACCAGAUCCUUAACCCACUGUGCCAGGCCAGGAUCGAACCUGCAUCCCAGUGCUCCCAAGAUGCCGCCAAUCCCUUUGCACCACAGCGGGAACUCCAAGAUGCUAUAUUCUUUUUGUGCCUCCAGCUCUGCUUCAGAGAGUUAGCCUGCAGUAAGAAAGAUGGGAAUGAUUGUUUUUGUUUGUUUUCAAUUUUUCUUGUCUGUCAUCCUCAGCUCACUUCAGUUGCUCAGGGUGUUGACAUGGAGAGGAAGAUAGAGAAAGGUGUGGGAAAUGUCUCCUCUAAAUUAGUAUCAUGGCUGGCUUCGUGCUUUCUGAGUUUAGCAGAUGUUUAUAGCUAUUCCUGUCCAUCAACAAAGCAUCAUGGAGUGCAUUUAUGGGUUCUUCAGGGGUUCCCUGCUGGGCCCCUCUCCUGCGCUCCCCCUAGCAAAAGCAUCUCUAUUGCCAAUAGUCAUCUGUCUUCUUACUUCUGGAGUCCCUUUACACCUCUAGAAGGCCCUACUGACCAGGACCCACGAUGGGCUUAUGCAGGCUCUCUUCCUUUCACUUAGUCCACAUCUGGCCUACAGAAAACAUUCCCUGACAGAUUCUGGGAGAGCAGGACAAUCUCAACAUAGCAGCGCUCUCCUGGGUCCACCAUCAAAGCAGUUAUCAGGCUUGUUUCUUGCUGAUAGACUUCCUGGACAGGAGAUAGAUCCAGUCAUGCUCCCAGAGUGCAAUGGGGUCAGAUUUGGCACCUCAAAUCCUCCUGGAAUGCCCCUCUCCUGGUCACUUGGCUUCGGCAGUUAAAUCUUCCCCAAGAAGAUAUGGGGGAGGGGUGUCUCAUAAUCAGAAAUAUCUCCACACAAAUUCUUUAUCCUCCAUUCUCUUGAAAUCAUAGAUAAAGGAUUUAGGACUUAAAACAGAUAUUGGGCUAUUAAAACAUAACAUAUACAAUUUUUUUUUCUUUUUAGGGCCACACCCAAGGCAUAUGGAAGUUUCUAGGCAAGGGGUUGAAUCAGAGCUACAGCUGCCGGCCUAUUCCACAGCCACAGCAAUGCCAGAUCUGAGUCGUGUUUGUGACUUACACCACAGCUCAUGGUAACACCAGAUCUCCAGCCCACUGAGUGAGGCCAAGGAUCAAACCCACAUCCUCAUGGAUACUAGUCGGGUUUGUUACCUCUGAGCCACAGCAGGAACUCCCUGUACAUAAUUUUAAAAAGAAAGUCAGUCAGUCCAGGCAACCUCUUGACGUGGGGCAGGGGGAAUAUGUAUAAAUAAUGAGCAACCCUGGGAUGUGGGAUCCACAUUAUAGUCCUGGAACAGGGUUAGGAUAUAAAGCAUGUUCCCAAACAUGGAAUUUAGGAUGUAAAGAAAGAAUCCCAGUUCACCUGAAGGGGAGCAGUGCUGGUUUUCUUUCAACUGACCUGUUGUCUCUCCCUCCAAUGCAGCCUCCUUUGAGGCCUUCUCCCCACUCUAGUCUGGUUUGAACAUGGCCAGACUCUAAUUGUGGCUAGAUUGUCUUUUCCCAAAGAAUUCUUGGGUCCCAAGCAAUUCAAGGGAUGGAUAUGAACACCCUUUGGUUUGUCUCAAGUGUCCCUGGUACGUCAUAGGCUGUUUGAAGGCUGAUGUACUUUCAGAGCCUACAGAACCUCUGGGGGGAAUGUUACCCACUCUCAGGCAUCAGCUAACUGCAGUUUCUGCUCUGGCCCAGACAAAAUACCCAGUACUGGGUAUUUUUCUGGCGUAUAGUUGACUUACAAUGUUGUAUUAGUUUCAGGUGUAGAGCAAGGUGAUUAAGUUAUACAUAUUCAUAUAUCCAUUCUUUCUUCCCAUCUAGCUUAUUACAGCAUAUUGAGUAUAUUUUAUUAUGCUUUAAUACAAUUUCCAACUUGCUGUUAAUACAUAGUAUUAUUAUCUAAUACUAAUACAUAUAAAUAAAUGUUUGCUGGGUGAAUGAAUAAAUGAAUGAGGAUAUGUAUUAAUGAAUUAUUUUUACUAAGAUUAAAGAUUCCUGUUUGGUUUUAAUCACCUUCUAUUCCAUUUGCCCUUUGUUGAUAUGUCUUGAUAGUCUGAAACCUAUGUUUAUUCCUCUUUGUCUUAAAAUGUAUUGCGCAGUAUGUAGAUGGAUUUUAUGUCCUUAACCUUUGUAAUACUGGGGCUGAUUUCAUUCAGCCCAUGGAUGAUUUUUUUUUUCUUUUCUUUUCUUUUUAGGGCUGAUCCUGCAUCACAUGGAAUUUCCUGGGCUAGGGGCUGAAUCAGAGCUGCAGCUACCAGCCCAUACCACAGCCACAGCAACUUGGGAUUAAAGAGCCCCAUCUGUGAUCCACACCACAGCUUGCGGGAAUACAGGAUCCUUAACCCACUGAAUGAGGCCAGGAAUCAAACUCACAUCCUUGUGGAUCUCAACUGGGUUUUUAAGCUGCUGAGCCCCAACAAGAACUCCAUGGAGACUUAUUUGGCACCUAAUAUGUGUCAGGUUCUAUGUUAAAUGCUAAGUCAGACAUAGUCUCCUAGCCUCAGGAAACUUAAAUUUUAGAGAGGGAGAAAGAUAACAGGU